CACGUAGGCGGAUCUUUAAGUCAGAGGUGAAAUCCCAAGGCUCAACCUUGGAACUGCCUUUGAUACUGGGGAUCUCGAGUCCGGAAGAGGUGAGUGGAACUGCGAGUGUAGAGGUGAAAUUCGUAGAUAUUCGCAAGAACACCAGUGGCGAAGGCGGCUCACUGGUCCGGUACUGACGCUGAGGUGCGAAAGCGUGGGGAGCAAACA
rnacentral:rRNA from 1 species